rnacentral:rRNA from 1 species
AUUGAACGCUGGCGGCAGGCCUAACACAUGCAAGUCGAGCGGAUGACGGGAGCUUGCUCCUUGAUUCAGCGGCGGACGGGUGAGUAAUACCUAGGAAUCUGCCUGAUAGUGGGGGACAACGUUUCGAAAGGAACGCUAAUACCGCAUACGUCCUACGGGAGAAAGCAGGGGACCUUCGGGCCUUGCGCUAUCAGAUGAGCCUAGGUCGGAUUAGCUAGUUGGUGAGGUAAUGGCUCACCAAGGUGACGAUCCGUAACUGGUCUGAGAGGAUGAUCAGUCACACUGGAACUGAGACACGGUCCAGACUCCUACGGGAGGCAGCAGUGGGGAAUAUUGGACAAUGGGCGAAAGCCUGAUCCAGCCAUGCCGCGUGUGUGAAGAAGGUCUUCGGAUUGUAAAGCACUUUAAGUUGGGAGGAAGGGCAGUAAGCUAAUACCUUGCUGUUUUGACGUUACCGACAGAAUAAGCACCGGCUAACUCUGUGCCAGCCGCCGCCGUAACUAC